UACGUAGGUGGCAAGCGUUGUCCGGAAUUAUUGGGCGUAAAGCGCGCGCAGGCGGUCCUUUAAGUCUGAUGUGAAAGCCCACGGCUCAACCGUGGAGGGUCAUUGGAAACUGGGGGACUUGAAUACAGGAGAGGAAAGUGGAAUUCCACGUGUAGCGGUGAAAUGCGUAGAGAUGUGGAGGAACACCAGUGGCGAAGGCGACUUUCUGGCCUGAUAUUGACGCUGAGGCGCGAAAGCGUGGGGAGCAAACAGG
rnacentral:misc_RNA from 1 species